rnacentral:rRNA from 1 species
UCCGGUGAUUAUAGCAAAGAGGUUACACCCGAUCCCAUUCCGAACUCGGAAGUUAAGUUCUUUUGCGCCGAUAGUACUGCAUGGGAAACUAGUGCGGGAGGGUAGGUCGUCGCCGGUA